rnacentral:rRNA from 1 species
CCUACGGGCGGCAGCAGUGGGGAAUAUUGCACAAUGGGGGAAACCCUGAUGCAGCGACGCCGCGUGAGUGAAGAAGUAUCUCGGUACGUAAAGCUCUAUCAGCAGGGCAGAUAAUGACGGUACCUGACCAAGAAGCACCGUCUAACUACGUGCCAGCAGCCGCGGUUAUACGUAGGGGGCCAGCGUUAUCCGGAUUUUGUGGGUGUAAAGGGGGCGUAGACGGCAGAAAAAGUCUGGAGUGAAAUUCCGGGGCUUAAACCCUGAAAUUCUUUGGAAACUGUGCGGCUGGAGUGCAGGAGGGGUAAGCGGAAUUCCUAGUGUAGCGGUGAAAUGCGUAGAUAUUAGGAGGAACACCGGUGGCGAAGGCGGCUUACUGGACUGUAACUGACGUUGAGGCUCGAAAGCGUGGGGAGCAAACAGGAUUAGAUACCCCAGUAGUC